AGGGCUACUGUAAGACCAGUCAUGACUACUCCGGUGAUUUCUCUUUUAUGUCUUCUUAGCUUCAUGACAAUGCUGGAAAGGGAGCCCUAAGAUCGUCCCAUUAACAGAUGAGGAGACUGGGCUACGCAGCAACCAGGUGCCUAUGCCAAGGUCAUGACCGAGGCAGGCUUUGAACUCCAGGCCCUUUGCCUCUUACGCCACCUGGCCCAUGACUCCUGGUGUACGAAGCCCAGCAACAUGGAAGGGCAGGCAGGGCUGGGGACAAGCCGAAGCACCACACAGGCGACCACACAGGUAGAGAUGGAUCUGCAAGUAUCUUGGCCUGGCUCUGCCCUCAGAGACACUCAGCAAGUUCUCCCAAGGUGCAGAACACAGAUUGUUGUAAAAAUAACCAGACACACGUAAGUUUGAAACAAUGGUUACAAUUUAUUUAUUUAUGUUUACAUAGUUUAUUUUUAAUAAUGGCCGUAUUUAACAACCAGCUUGCAGGAUUUCCCCCAGAUUUUACAAUCUGCUGCAGGCCCCAGCUCCCUGUGAAUGAGGCACACAGCUCUGGAAACCUAGUUGGAAAGGGGAGUAGCAUGCGAGCCAGAGGACCCUUAAGGGCUGAGCCUGUUCGGUGCUGGGUGCAGGGGGGUAAACACACACACGUGUGGACUGAUGGAGUCUUAGUGCGAGGCCACCGUUAGUUCAACCUCUGCAGAUGAGAGUGGGAAAGUACAGAGCUGCCCUUCAGCUCAUGGGCUCCAGCUCGAGCCUAAUAUGGAAGUCGAGGGUGUUCUGCUGGUACAAAGAGAGGGAUUGCAGGAAGCUUGUCAAAUUGCUCAUUCAAUUAGAAUCAAGGACCAGGAAACGGUGUGAGCCUUGCCUGUCAGUGAUUAUUUAGAGCACACACAAUACAUGUCUUUCAGUUUGUCUGCGGGGGCCAGCUUGACCUUGUGGGGGCCCUCGGGUUUUGCUGCCUGCGGACCACCUAAGCAAUCAAACAGAAGCUGUUGCGCCAAGUGGUGACAGGGCUCCUCAGAUACCCUGCAAAGCACAUGUGUCCUGUGGCUUAGGAACCUCGUCAUUGUCUCCGGAGCUGAAGCAGCUGUGGGAGCCAGGGGCUGUGUGGCUCAGGGUGAGUGCGCUGGCCCCUGUUGGCCCCUAGGGACCGGCACUGCUCUAAAUCACAGGACAUUCACUCUGCAUAAUUGUUUUCUCGUCACACAUCACUUGUUAAGAAUCUGCUCUCGGAAAUGAUGAGUUAUCACAAAGCUAAUGGUGAGUUUAAAA
rnacentral:lncRNA from 1 species